CAACCAUCUUUGCUAGGGCAGGGCCUGCAGCUUUAUUUGUAGGUUACCUAUUGAAGGAUCCUUGCUCCAGAAUAUUUACCCCAUCCUUGGGUGUAUUUUUUGUUACACUCUCCUAAAUCCUGACAUUUUCUGAGUUUAGGUUCUCCUUUGAGAGGCUUAUUCUUAGGUAUUUGUAACUUAGUGUGACAAUAUAAUGAGAGUCCUUUUAAUACCUAGCAGGGGUCAUUCUGCUGUGGAACUGGGGCCAUUGAUGAAAGAUUAUUCAGGAGUCUUCGAUAUUUGAGGGUGGGAGAUGGAGGCAUUCCUACAUGGAACAUUUAAAUGAGUGACUUUGGGAAUCAUGAGGCCUUAGGUUGGGAAGGGGUGUGUGAAAAGAAUGCAUUGGAGAAGAGAAAAGAAUAUUAAAGGCAAACUUUAACUACACGGGAGUUUGUCUAGGGCUGCUAUUUCUGAAGUCCUAACUACGGUAUCCA
rnacentral:lncRNA from 1 species